rnacentral:rRNA from 1 species
UACGUAGGGGGCUAGCGUUGUCCGGAUUUAUUGGGCGUAAAGAGCUCGUAGGCGGUUUGUCGCGUCGACUGUGAAAACCCGAGGCUUAACCUCGGGCCUGCAGUCGAUACGGGCAGACUAGAGUUCGGUAGGGGAGACUGGAAUUCCUGGUGUAGCGGUGAAAUGCGCAGAUAUCAGGAGGAACACCGGUGGCGAAGGCGGGUCUCUGGGCCGAUACUGACGCUGAGGAGCGAAAGCGUGGGGAGCGAACGGG